GUCUUGUGACUAUUCUCCUAUAUUCUAUUACCAUUAAAAUUUGUAUUUACUGCAAGUGAUGUCCUAGUAAAUUACACCUUUUCAUGUUAUUUUGCUCUUUUGUUCUUUUAUUUUAUUUUUUUAUGGGAAAAAGGGGAUAUAUUUUUCUUCCGUUUAUUAAUUACAUCAUUUCGUUAAUUUUCUUCUUUUUUUCAGUGUUUUGAAAUUAUAUGCAGACAUAUAAAAUUAGAACUAUAUUGCUUUCAAGAUUUUUUUCUGGAUGUCACCUACCGGUUUAGACAUACCACCUAGUUAUAGAUAAACACGCGUUUGAAUACCCUUCUGGGACACCUUUGCUUUUUGUUUUUCGUUUUGUAUUUUCAUUCUUUUUCGCUUUUUGCAAUAGCAUUGUCAAUAUUUUUUUCGACUCAUGCGUAUGCAUUUCCUUCUGGUAUCUUUCGUCUCUCGUGUGUUGCUUAAUCGCUAAUCCAUGACUGGAAACCAUUAUUGGUACACAACUCCUUGAAUACCAUCUUCAUUUCCAAAAAG
rnacentral:lncRNA from 1 species